CUUUUUCCAGAAAACUGCAGAUUUUAAGCACUGAGCCCCUGAGGUCCUGAAAAAGUCGUGGGUUAAGAAGUUACCGACCUUAUAAUGGUGGUGUGAGUUACAGCCAGUGUGUAACAUGAACAGCUCAGAAACAUAAUAUUGAAGUCAUGUCUGUGUUCAUACCAGCCUCUUAUGUGGUCAAACCAACUGCUUCCUUCUACUGGGAAGAAAAGUAACAAGUGAGAAUGCCAAGCUGUGUGUCCAUGUAGUGGACAACAAACUCUGUGCCUCCUUUUCUGGUUUGGAAUUUUUAGAAAUAAAACGGAGGGCCUGAAAUGGACAUCCAUAUCCUUAUUUAAAAUGCUUAGUGGUUUGUGGGAACAAUUACCUGACAUUCAUAGAAACCGGUCUAUAUAAAGUUUCUACAGGAGUAUGAAAGAAAUAAUAGAGAAAUAAAGGGUCUAAGGCUGCAGGCGGCUUUAGGACACACUGGUUUUUUUCCUACUUCUCCACAGAGGUCACAUGUCUCUGUUUUUCCUCUUAUUUCUGUCUGCAAUGGUACAGAAUCUGAAUAUCAUCUUACAAGAAAGCUAAUGCUUUUGUAUCCUAUAAAGAAUUGUCACUUAUAUUGGUUUAAUAAAAUGCUGAUUGGCCAAUAUCUAGGCAGGAAGUAUAGGCCGGGUGACCAGACUAGGAGAAUUCUAGGAAGAGGAACGUCAGAGACAGUCAUCAUAUAGAGAAAGCAAGAUGAAAAUUCUGCACUCAGAAAAGGAUGUAGUUCAAAAAGAGGUCCAGACCAUGACUGGUAUACCCACUGAAACAGUCUACCUUAUCUAAUUGGAGCUUUGCAACUUCAGUCGGACCUGGAAGAAACAAGCAUAGAUCCAAACUAGACCCUCUGAAUGUGGAUGACUGUUGCAUGACUGGGGCAGACUGGGGGAACACUGGCAGUGGCAUCAGAAUUUAUCACUACUGCUUGUCCUGACUUUUGGGGAACCUAUUUUCUUUGGAUGGAUGCCUUGCUCAGCCUAGAUAUAGUGGAGGACCUUGAAAAAUCAAUGUGCUUUACCCUCUCUGAGUAGUGGGUGGGGGAGGUGGAGUUCAGAGGUAUGUGGAAGGAAUGUGAUGUGGGGAGGGGGUAGUAAAUUGGAUUUGUAUGUAUAAUAAAAAACAAUAGUUUGUUUUUAUAAAAAAAUUAAUUUAAUUAAAAAGAAUGUAGUUCAAUUCUCAAAAGCAAUAUUAUUUGUAAUGUUCAUAAAUAUUGAACAAUAAUUUGCCUUCUGUGAUCAAAAUAUAUAAAAUUUUUAAUUAAAAAUUUAAAAGUGAAAUUCAUUACUCAUGAGGGUCAAUUGAUAGAUAUUAUAUGAUAACAAAGGAGUUAAAUAUGAAAACAAAAGACUAAUAAUCAUAAUGAAAUAUCUAGUAAUCUAUUUAUAAUCUUCAAAUAAAAAUGAGCAUUUCUUUCAUAUCAUUCAGAAAAAUAUUGUAAACAUGAGUUAAGAACAUAAGUAGGAUAAAAACUCACACAUAGAAGCAAUAAUCUGUGUGUAUCUGUCCACAUUAGCACCUGAAGAUCUAGGGCAGGAGGAGGAGCUCAUGCUAGUUUUGGCUACAUGAAAUACUCUCAUAAAGGAAAUAAAGUAAGGGAGUGAGGAAAAGAAUGAGAAAGAAAAACCAAAACCCAGAGAAUUUAUCUCUAGGACUAAAGCAAGGGAAAAAGUGUCAAAAAUGAAUCUAUUUAAAAGAAAAAUAGGACAGGUCCCACAGACCCCACCUGCACAAGAUAAAAAAGGUGGAUGUUUGAUAUCUUGGCUGGAAAGCCCUGCUCUCUAGGCCCUAUACCCGCACUUCCACCAACCACUGAGACCCCAGCAAUCAGACAGCAGCUCUCUCUCUUAUGAACUAUCUCCUGCUGCAGGACCCACUAGCUGGCCUACACAUGAAGGCACAGCAACUCCUGGAGCUACAGGCCUGAACUGCACCUGGAGCUACAGAACCCGCUUGUACAAAUUGGAGGAAAAGAUGGGUUGACAGCAGUGUACGAAUAUGUUCAACAACAUAAACAGCAACAUGGCAUUGUCAGAAAUGAGUGUUUCUUUCUUUUUUUUUUUUUAUUUUUUUUUUUUGGUUUUUCAAGACAGGGUUUCUCUGCGGCUUUGGAGCCUGUCCUGGAACUAGCUCUGUAGACCAGGCUGGUCUCGAAGUCACAGAGAUCCACCUGCCUCUGCCCCCCCCCCCCGAGUGCUGGGAUUAAAGGCAUGCACCACCACCGCCCGGCCAGAAAUGAGUGUUUCUACAACAACCAGGUCUGAAUAUCCCAACACACAGAUGAAGCAGAAGAAAAUGAUCUUAAAUAUAACUUUCUGAAAAUGAUGGAGGCCCUUAAAGAGGAAAUGGAAAGUUCCCUUAAAUAAAUGGAGGAAAAAGAAAAAAAAACUGGAAGAAAUCAAUAAAUCCUUUAAGAAAGUCAAGAAUACCAGGAUAAAACAACCAGACAAGUGAAAGAAACAGUCCAAGACUUGGAAAUUCAAACAGAGGCAAAAAACACAAGCUGAAGGAAUUCUGGAUGUGGAAAAACAGUAUAAAUGAACAGGAACUACAGAUGCAAGCAUAACCAAUAGAUGAAAGAGAUGGAAGUGGGACUCUCAGGCGCUGAAGACACAAUAAAGGAAAUUGAUUCAUAGGUCAAAAAAAUGUUAAAUCCAACAAAUUCUUAGUACACCCCCUCCAAAUUCCCUUUGUCAUAUACUAAUCAAAACACUAAACAUACAGAAUAAAGAAGUAUACUAAGACCUGCAAAGGAAAAAGGACAAAGAACGUAAAAUGGCUGAAAUAACAGAAUUACUCCAGACUUCUCAAUGAAAUUCUGAAAGCAAUGAAGUCCUUGGAAGAUGUUAUGCAGACACUAAAAGAUCAUGGAUGCCAGCCCAGGCUACUAUACCCAGCAAAGUUCUCAAUCACCAUAGAUAGAGAAAACAAGAUAUUCCAUGACAAAACCAGAUUUGAACAAUACAUAGCCACAAGUCCAUCCCUACAGAAUGUACUAGAAGAAAAACUCCAGUCAAAGGAAGCUAGUUGUACCCACAGGAAACACAGCCAACAGGUAACCUCAUAUCAGCAAGCCCCAAAGAAGGGAAGCACACAAACACUACCACCACCACCAAAAUUAAACAGGAAAGCAAUUAUCAAUCACUGGUCAUUAAUAUCUCUUAAUAUCAAUGGUCUCAAUUCACUUAUGAAAAGAGACUGGCUAUCACAAUGAAUACAAAAACAGGACCCAUCCAUUGCUGUACAAAAGAAUCACACCUCAACCACAAAGACAGUGAUUCCCUCAGAGUAAGGGCUAGGAAAGGAUUUUCCAAGCAAAUGGGCCAAAGAAGCAAGUGUAUAUAACUAUCCUAAUGUCUAACAAAAUAGAUUUUAAACUAAAAUUAAUCAAAAGACAUGGAGAAGGACAUUUGGCUCAUGUCAGGCUAGUGCAAGCUCAGGGACUGUUGACUGACAGGUGAGAAACCUGCAUGGGACUGAACUAGUUUCUCUACAUGUGAGUGACAGUUAUAUGGCUUUAUCUGUUGGAGGGGUCCUGGAAGUAGCAAUAGGGCCUAUCCCAGGUACAUAAACCUGCUUUUUGGAGUCUGUUCUCUAUAGUGGGAUACCUUACUUAGUCUUGAUAUCAAGGGUAGAGGUUGCUCCUUCCUCAAGUUAGUAUUCCAGACCUUGUUGAUUUCUGAAGGAAGGCCUUACUCCCUCUGAGAAGUGGAUGGAGAAUGAGGAUGCGAUAGGGGGAGGACAGGGAAAGAAGAUAGAGGGGGAACUGGGGCUGGUAUAUAAGGGUGAAAAGUAAUUUUUAAUAAAAAGUAUGAAAAAUAGCAAGAAAAAUCAAUCAGUUUGAUAACACUAAAAUUAAGAAUGUUGCUGAUGAAAACCCACAUGAGAAAAGCAAUGAGGAUGAGCUAAAAUAGAUUCAUAUCUAGAAGUUAUAGAAAACAAACUGACCAGAAGAAUGUAAUUAAACAUCGGGCUAAUGAUAAACUCUUUUCACAUAGUCCAACAUCAUGAUAGCCAAUAAACAUCCAACAUUGGCACUCCCUUUAUGAGGAUGAGGAUGCAAAUUAACAUACAUUUGAGACACCUUUUCCUAGCUGCCAUGUUGAUAAACAUCUAAAAGUCUGAUAUGUCAAGUUACUAGAGAAACAUUAAUAAGUCAUCUAUUGUGCAUUUCUGCAAGAAAAGACAAAUACACUUUCUUCAGAAAUACUGCACCACCUUUGUAAGUGGAGUACUCUGGUCACUGUGGCUCUGCAGCUCUAUUCAUGGGUAUGGGUUCUAAGGAAGCUGCUGAGAGAGUACCAGGAGACACACUCAAGAACGUUCAUAGCAGCUGCAUCACAGUGGCAAAAUAUUGGAAUAGACUAAUUAUUCAGUACUUAGAGAAGGCAUUUCAUGGGUACAGUAAGUCACUG